rnacentral:rRNA from 1 species
AGAACGAACGCUGGCGGCAGGCUUAACACAUGCAAGUCGAGCGCCCCGCAAGGGGAGCGGCAGACGGGUGAGUAACGCGUGGGAACAUACCCUCCGGUUCGGAAUAGCUCAGGGAAACUUGGAUUAAUACCGGAUACGGCCUAGCGGCGAAAGAUUGAUCGCCGGAGGAUUGGCCCGCGUCUGAUUAGCUAGUUGGUGGGGUAAUGGCCCACCAAGGCGACGAUCAGUAGCUGGUCUGAGAGGAUGAUCAGCCACAUUGGGACUGAGACACGGCCCAAACUCCUACGGGAGGCAGCAGUGGGAAUAUGGACAAUGGGCGCAAGCCUGAUCCAGCCAUGCCGCGUGAGUGAUGACGGCCUUAGGGUUGUAAAGCUCUUUCGCUAGGGACGAUAAUGACGGUACCUAGACAAGAAGCCCCGGCUAACUUCGUGCCAGCAGCCGC